rnacentral:lncRNA from 1 species
CCCUCCCCCGAUAAGAGUAGACACGGUGGCCUUCCCCGCUGGUCCCCAGGGGGUGGAGUACGUGGCCGUGGCAGAAGCCUUUUUGUGGAAGAGUAGAUGGAAGAAUCACAUGACAAGAAUUAUUUGCAACCCCCAACUGGAAUACAUUCUGAUACAACCAUGGUUUUGCUGCUCCCACUUUGCCUUCAUUCCCUGACAGAAAGUUUUUCAUUCUCAGGUAACCACCAAAUUUGCUUGGUAUGAACUUCCAUUCCUCCUGAAGAAGCAACAUGGCUUUCGCACUAAUAAAUAUAUCUUUUUCUUAUACUUCAAUAUUAUCAUUAUGAACAACAAAUACAGUGAAAUAUGUCAAAUGCCC